rnacentral:rRNA from 1 species
AGAAUCAACGCUGGCGGCGUGCCUCAGACAUGCAAGUCGAACGAUUAAAGCUCUCUUCGGAGAGUGUAUAGAGUGGCGCACGGGUGAGUAACACGUAAGUAAUCUACCUUUGAGUGGGGAAUAACAAUCGGAAACGAUUGCUAAUACCGCAUAAUGCAGCGGCAUCGUAAGGUGACAGUUGUUAAAGGAGCAAUCCGCUUAAAAGAGGAGCUUGCGGCAGAUUAGCUAGUGGUAAGUAAUGGCUUACCAAGGCUACGAUCUGUAUCCGGUCUAAGAGGACGGUCGGACACACUGACACUGAAUAACGGGUCAGACUCCUACGGGAGGCAGCAGUCGGGAAUUUUGGGACAAUGGGACGAAAGCCUGACCAGCAACGCCGCGUGAA